AAUGUAAAAAAUGGUUUUAAAAAUGACAAAAAAAAAAAUGGAGAGAACAGUGAGAAAUCGCUGCUGUUUUUUUACCAAGUUGUGUGGUUGUGUU
rnacentral:ribozyme from 13 species